CCAACGGCAGAUAGUGCCUACAAUGUUUCCUUGUGUCGCCGUCAGUCAUUCAUGUUACUCCAUGAAUGUAGAAUCGUAGCUCAGUACGUGUAAAUAAUUUCAUAUUUUCCGCAAGACAAUUCUAUAAUACAAAUGUAUACAGGAGUGGGUCAAGCGACGGGCCCGCGCCGUGUCACCAGUGCGUAGGAGCACCGCUGCGUCAUCCACGUGCAUCUCAAAAACCUUUCCACAAAAACUCACGCUAACCGACUAGCGAGGCAAAAGGCGACGAAGCUUUUAAACUUUAGGAACUUUUUCCCGUCGUAUCGCAUUCGUCAAGUGACAAGUACCUACACAAAGUGUCUAAUUAGUAUUCAUCUGGGCGCGUGUAGACCUCUUCGCGGUGGGGACGGGUUAUUAGCCGGCGCCGCCUCCGCGCCCAGGCAUAUUGUUCCGAGUUCUGCCCACCGAGCGCCGUACGCUCGCCCGACCAACGAUAAUUCAUAUUGUCAAUAUUUGUACUGCAACAACGAACCGACGAUUUCACCAGAGGAAGCCGAGCCGGUGGCUGGGAAGGCAAGAAGUCGGCAUAGCUGUUUGAAAAUGAUAUACGGCUGUGUCACUUCGAGCCAGCUCAAUCCACCGGCUUUCUGCAUAAAGAAGAUUUGCGGACGCUGCCGUAACGUGAAAAUUCGGAUCGCUCCCGUAGCGGCGCGACUCCGGCCGGGAGAGGGCGCAUUGACAGCUGUCACUGGGCACUAUUUCGCUUUCUUCGCGGCCGGACGUGGGAGGAAAUCGUUUAUUUUUAUCACACACGACGAUGUUCCCGUAGAGUGCGACCGGCUGUGUACGUGCGUGACGAAACGAUCGAAAACAAGACGACAAAAUGCCGAACGAGGAGGUGUUGGGUCCGCGGAAGACGAUGUUCGUACUAGUGAUUGUUGUGGGAUGUUUCGCGGUGCUGUGGCCCAGGAUUCUGUCGCCGCUGAUCUUGGGCCACUCGCGGGACCAGCUCAAACCGAACGCGUUCGACCGGGAGGCAGGUAAAGUCGGUAUUUUUAACACAAGCUCAAUGUCAAUACCGCUGGACGUGCUCGGCCGAUGGUGGCGUAUGUUGCGCACCGUUUGCCAUAUUAAUUAAAUUAGACGACCAAUAACUCGGUUAAUUAUAGCUUGGAUAUUAAAAAUCCUAUUUUGAGUACACAUUAUAUAAAUGUUUGUAGGCGCGCAGUAAUGUCGCGGCACGGUCAUAUUUGCGAUGUGCAGAGCGAGUUGGCUAUGCAAAUAGCAGCUGGUCCAGUUGUUGACUGAUGCUGCGAAGUGAUGUUCGAGACAGAACUGGCGGUAUUGGAACUGAUCAACGAGGUAUGUAGUUCAGCAGUCCACGUGGACGGAAAGCUCUCUCCAUACGCCGCGGCGGAGUGUCGCAAAGCCGUCAACGAGACCUGCGGAGUAGAUAUAGCGGCAUUCCUCAAACGAAAUGAGAACAUCGGCAAGACCUCCAAGAAACUAGUCGAGACUAUGAAGAACAGCAACUCCUCGUGCCUUAAGGAGCAUUUUGGCGUGCCCGUCUGGAGUCUCGCUCCUCACCAGGCGUUCAACUCAUGGACCCUACAAGACACUGUAAAACAAGAGCGUCCUCUGAACCGCGGCGCAGGGCCGCAUCCAGCACUGCGAGAGCGGGGCCGCGCGAUUCCUCAGGGCGUGGCCCCCGCGAGACCCGCGACACCGAUGCCGCCCCACGUUCGGGUACGAUCCUCCCCGCUAUCAGUGUACUAUGAGCUGGACAUCAAGCCACCACCGAUCCCGGGCAUGCGGCCCCCGCUCGGCUCGCCCGGGGGUCCGGUGCCCACGCCCAAGUCGUCCAUGGGGUUCGUCAUGCCGAUCUACACGAUAUGCAUCAUAGUGUUCUUCGUGUACACACUUAGCAAGAUCCUGUUCAAGCGCACCGCGUCCCCCUACGAGCCUGUUAGUCCCGACCCCCACUUCAGGAGCAGGGUGUUCCGCGACGACUCCAGGACGUCGCCCGACAAGCUCGUUGUUACUGCAAUAUCGGGCCUGGUGGCAGAGGUACAGCAGCAGAUGGAGGCGAGCUACGCGCAAAACCAGCAGCGACAGGAGGCCCAGGAUGAGCAGGCUCGCCCGUACACGAACGGUACAAUACUUCACAACACCGGCCCGGUGCAUAUCGUCGCCAGCGAAUACCAGGAAGUAUCCAAGGAAAAGACUCCUGAACCUCAGAGGGAAGUGCCAGAACCUUCACCUGAAGUGAAGGAACCUGCCCCUGAACCUGAAAAGCCUCUGUCAAAAGAAUCUUUAGAGACGAAAGAGUCUGAGGAAUUAGAGGCUGAAAAACAAGAAGAAUUGGUUCAAGAAAUACCUGCAACACAAUCUGAAGAAGCAGAGACGGACGAUGUUAAAGAAGAGAAGGGUCCAGAAGAAAAUGACUUAAAACUCGUUGCUGACGAUGAAGUGGACGAAAAUGGUGGCGAAGCUAAAUUCGAUAAAGAAGAAUCGGGUUCAGAGCCAGAGUUAAUAGAAAUUAAUAAUAAAGAGGAUGAACUGAUUAAAUUAACAAACGAUGACGUAGAAAGCGAUGACUACGUCAAAGUGGUACAGGAUUUCUUGAACGAGGAAGCUAAAAUAGACGUGAAAGAAGAGAAACAAUCGACUCCGGAUCUCCUGGAAGUAGCUAUUAAAGAGGACUCGCCUGAUAAACCUGAGGAUGACCAAGAAAAUGCUAGUGUAAAGGUGGUAGGCAUGGAGGUGACGGCGCACACGGCGGACGGCGGCGCGCUGCCCCGCGCUCCCCCGCCGCCCGCGCCCGCGCCUGCGCCCCAGCGCCCGCACGAGGCGGAGGAAGUGAAGUCGAUAUUCCUGGAGACGGAGAUUCCGCAGAAGUCUCGGGUCCUCGUCGCGGACUUCGUCGAAGACAGGCCCGAAGACUCCGCGCCCAGUAACAAUUCCCCAAUGGUGGUGAGCGGUAAAAUGACUUUGUCACUCAUACAGGACGCACCGAGAGACACUCCUGAGAAGGAUCCAGAAUCAACAGUGGAUGAUUUCACAACAGCCAGUGCAAUCACUCAACCCGCCGCUGAUAAACAAGUUGAAGAAGAGUCCGACGAAGAAAUAGAGAUCGAAGAAGAAAUAGAAGUGGAAGAGAUCGAGGAAGAGGAAGAAGUUGAGGAGAUUGAGGAAGACGAAGAGAACGAACCGGUGGAGGCGAAGAAACCAGAAGCAAAGGAACCAGUCAAAGUGCAAGAAGUAAAGGAAGCUGUUAAAGUACAGGAAGAAGUAAAACAAGCAGAAGAAGAUUCCGAAGAGGAGGUAGAAGUAAAUGAAGAUGAGGAACCAAUACAAGAUUCGAAAUUUGAACCGGUUAAAGAACUAGAUGCCGAUAAAGAAGAAGAAUAUUCUGAGGAAGAAAUUGAGGAAAAUGAGGAACCAGUGAAAGAGUCAGUUAAGGUAAAGGAACCGGUGAAAUUAAAAGAGCCAGUUAAAGGAAAACCAUCUGUAGAACAUUCAGAAGAUGAUAAGGAACAGAAGAAAGCGAAAGGAGAUAAAGAAUGAACUGAUAGGAAUUAACUUGUAGUGAGAGAAUGUUUGGUGGUUCUGUAAAGAAAAAUAUUAAACAAGUAAAAUGGAUUCAAAUAAAAAUACCUACAUUAUUUGGCCCUUUAAAUGGAAUCCAAAGAAGGAAUUAGGAAGGCAUAAUUUUUGAGCACCACCGAAAAUUUUUCACGUUUGAAGAAAAAAUACAUCAGGCAAAAACAACAUUAGUAUAUUUCAUACGGAACCACUAAACAGUUAUUUUAUCUUUAAAUAUAAUUUUAAAAAUGUUUAUUUUUGCAAGUUAUAUUUUCGUAUGCUUUCGCUCGUCACGUUAUUUUUUUACAAUUAUAUUUUUACCUUCGAUUGUCGUUUAUUUAAGAUGUAUAUUUCGUGCAGAUGUCGCCGUUCGCUUGUAGUAUAAGAUUUUAAGUGUGUUUAUGGACGUGGCAGUUUCUGGGGCAUAAUUUAUCAAUAUAAAAAAAAGACACUAAAAUUUUAGGCCUUGACAAAUCUAGUCAUUUUAAAAUUACUAUACUAAAAAGAUUUACAAUUACUCAGGUUUGUCUAUAAUCUUCAAUGACAACAAAAAUUAGCAUUGUAUGUUCAUCGAUCGAAAAUAACCAAUCAAAAUAAGUAAUUAGUAUGCCAUCAUUUAAUUCCAAUUUUUUCUUACAGUGAUUUGAUAAUCUAUUAAUUUCGAUCGAGAGAAUGUAAGAUGAUGCCUCAGUAUGCCGUAAGAGUGUCCAUGAACAUGGAACUACGAAUUUAGCAUUGCUCUCAGUGUUCGAUAUUUUUGUGCCAAAUUUACUUCGAGCUUUUUAAUUUUGUCAUAGUUUUACAUUGACCCCACACAUUUUGUAUUACAUUGACACCCCAUUGGCAAGUUUCCGGUUUAAACUACGAUAUUUAAAGAACCGGAAUGAGGUAGCCAGAAAAAUUACUGGAUAUUAUGAGCUUCACAGUUAAUGCGUCAUGGUGAAGAACACAAUGCUUUACCAUGUACUUGUAAUUUAAAGUUUUGAAAGAUUGUUUUUCGAAAACGUUGCUCGUCUCAUACUGUUCAAUUACAUAUUUUUACUGCUUAAUAUAUAUAUUUCAAUGGGGUGAUAUAACUAACUAUGUAUCAAUGUAUCAUUUAUAGGUUAGCGGUGAUGGACACGGCAGAGAAAAAAUCGAUUAAAUAUUGAAACUAUGACUCAUGAUCAUUCGCAUAUGGUUUCUAGUUACGUAAGUGUAAUUUCAAGCGAAGCGAAUUUUUUUUAUGAUAAUUUUAACCUUAUAGGAGACAUAAUUAGAUGUGGUUUCCAUUAUCUUCGAUUAGUCUAAUUGCCGGCACUCCGUCAGCGCUGAACCUUUAAAUUCACAGUCGCUGCUGGUCAUGGUUGAUGACGUCAUUUGUUGUUUCUUAGGCUGUCUUGCCAAAAUAUUUGUGGAUUAGUAUAGACAAUUUUUUUACCCUUAGCAAAUCUAAUUUGUGGCAAAUCUUCCUUCCAAAUGUUUAGCCAAAUUUUUACAAUGUUUUCCUAUUAUACACUAAUGUAUGAAUUAUAGGUAAUAAUAUAAAUUAAUAUUGUAUGAUCGCUUGCAAAAAAUAUUGUAUUAUAAUUAACAUUUUUUUUUUGAUUCUGUUAUGUAAAAUUUGUUAGAAUAUAAGAACCAGUUAUGGACUUGCCGACGUAUAAUUAUCAAAAAAAAAAGGUUGGAUUGAUCCUACAAUUUUUUACAGCAAUUUUUCUUGCAAGCGAUUUUUUAUUAGUAUCAUGCCCCAACCUCUACAUGUGUUAAUGUAUUGGGUGUGUUAGAAUAGACGGUAAUUUUGCACUGGCGUGUAGUUUUUAUGCAUUUAAGUUUAUAUCUUUGUGAUUUGUUAAGAAAAACAUUAUUUAUUUUGUUAUAUUUUUUUGCGGAAUGAACCCUUUAUGUGCGGAAUUUUUCGUCAAUAUUUUAUCAUACCUCAUUGUAUGACGGUUAGGUCUAUGGGGUAACGUGAUACAUCGCAUAAUAAGGGUGAAAAUAUUUAUUUUUGAAUGUUAACUAAUUUAUAUUAUUGAUUGUAAAUUUUUGUUUACUGUGGAAAUGUUUUUAGACGUUUUAUAAUCGAGUGUAACUUAUUAAUACAUGGUAUUCAGCAUUCCUUGUCUUUCUGAAUGUGUAGUAGAUCCAGAUCAGAUUGUCUAUUUAAAUGUAAACAUACACAUUUCCGAUAUGUAUUGCUUGUUUUUAGUUGUAAUAAAAUAACAGUAAAAAUGUUUUUUCUUUGUGCAAGUCUAGUUCCCAGUUAUGGACAAAACUAUCGUCACUUCCG
rnacentral:miRNA from 1 species